rnacentral:rRNA from 1 species
UACGUAGGUGGCAAGCGUUGUCCGGAAUUAUUGGGCGUAAAGCGCGCGCAGGCGGUUUCAUAAGUCUGUCUUAAAAGUGUGGGGCUUAACCCCGUGAGGGGAUGGAAACUAUGGAACUGGAGUAUCGGAGAGGAAAGCGGAAUUCCUAGUGUAGCGGUGAAAUGCGUAGAUAUUAGGAAGAACACCAGUGGCGAAGGCGGCUUUCUGGACGACAACUGACGCUGAGGCGCGAAAGCCAGGGGAGCGAACGGG